rnacentral:misc_RNA from 1 species
GAUGAAGAACGUAGCGAAAUGCGAUAAGUAAUGUGAAUUGCAGAAUUCAGUGAAUCAUCGAAUCUUUGAACGCACAUUGCGCCCGCCAGUAUUCUGGCGGGCAUGCCUGUUCGAGCGUCAUUACAACCCUCAGGCCCCCGCGCCUGGCGUUGGGGAUCGGCGGAGCCCCCCGUGGGCACACGCCGUCCCCCAAAUGCAGUGGCGGUCCCGCCGCAGCUUCCAUCGCGUAGUAGCUAACACCUCGCGACUGGAGAGCGGCGCGGCCACGCCGUAAAACACCCAACUCUUCUGAAGUUGACCUCGAAUCAGGUAGGAAUACCCGCUGAACUUAAGCAUAUCAAUAAGCGGAGGA